AGGAUGAACGCUAGCGGCAGGCCUAAUACAUGCAAGUCGAACGGUGAUAUUUAUAUCAUAGUGGCGCACGGGUGCGUAACACGUAUGCAACCUACCUAUUAUUGGGGGAUAGCCUUUGGAAACGGAGAUUAAUACCGCAUAAUACGAUUAACUGGCAUCGGUUGAUUGUUAAAGCAUUUGCGAUAAUAGAUGGGCAUGCGUCCAAUUAGUUAGUUGGUGUGGUAAUGGCUCACCAAGACAAUGAUUGGUAGGGGAUCUGAGAGGAUAAUCCCCCACACUGGCACUGAGAUACGGGCCAGACUCCUACGGGAGGCAGCAGUAGGGAAUAUUGGGCAAUGGGCGGAAGCCUGACCCAGCCAUGCCGCGUGCAGGAAGAAGGCGUUAUGCGUUGUAAACUGCUUUUUUAUAGGAAGAAGGAUCCCUUGCGAGGGAAGGUGACGGUACUAUAAGAAUAAGCACCGGCUAACUCCGUGCCAGCAGCCGCGGUAAUACGGAGGGUGCAAGCGUUGUCCGGAUUUAUUGGGUUUAAAGGGUGCGUACGCGGUUUAUUAAGUCAGUGGUGAAAGACGGUCGCUCAACGAUUGCAGUGCCAUUGAUACUG
rnacentral:rRNA from 1 species